GAUGAACGCUGGCGGCGUGCCUAAUACAUGCAAGUCGAGCGAACAGACGAGGAGCUUGCUCCUCUGACGUUAGCGGCGGACGGGUGAGUAACACGUGGAUAACCUACCUAUAAGACUGGGAUAACUUCGGGAAACCGGAGCUAAUACCGGAUAAUAUAUUGAACCGCAUGGUUCAAUAGUGAAAGACGGUUUUGCUGUCACUUAUAGAUGGAUCCGCGCCGCAUUAGCUAGUUGGUAAGGUAACGGCUUACCAAGGCAACGAUGCGUAGCCGACCUGAGAGGGUGAUCGGCCACACUGGAACUGAGACACGGUCCAGACGCCUACGGGAGGCAGCAGUAGGGAAUCUUCCGCAAUGGGCGAAAGCCUGACGGAGCAACGCCGCGUGAGUGAUGAAGGUCUUCGGAUCGUAAAACUCUGUUAUUAGGGAAGAACAAAUGUGGAAGUAACUAUGCACGUCUUGACGGUACCUAAUCAGAAAGCCACGGCUAACUACGUG
rnacentral:rRNA from 1 species